GAUGGUUCUAUACUGGUGUUGGAGACAGGGUGCAGUGUUUCAGGUGGGUGAUGGUUCUAUACUGGUGUUGGAGACAGGGUGCAGUGUUUCAGGUAGGUGAUGGUUCUAUACUGGUGUUGGUUCUAUACUGGUGUUGGAGACAGGGUGCAGUGUUUCAGGUAGGUGAUGGUUCUAUACUGGUGUUGGUUCUAUACUGGUGUUGGAGACAGGGUGCAGUGUUUCAGGUAGGUGAUGGUUCUAUACUGGUGUUGGUUCUAUACUGGUGUUGGAGACAGGGUGCAGUGUUUCAGGUGGGUGAUGGUUCUAUACUGGUGUUGGAGACAGGGUGCAGUGUUUCAGGUGGGUGAUGGUUCUAUACUGGUGUUGGAGACAGGGUGCAGUGUUUCAGGUGGGUGAUGGUUCUAUACUGGUGUUGGAGACCGGGUGCAGUGUUUCAGGUGGGUGAUGGUUCUAUACUGGUGUUGGAGACAGGGUGCAGUGUUUCAGGUGGGUGAUGGUUCUAUACUGGUGUUGGAGACAGGGUGCAGUGUUUCAGGUGGGUGAUGGUUCUAUACUGGUGUUGGAGACAGGGUGCAGUGUUUCAGGUGGGUGAUGGUUCUAUACUGGUGUUGGAGACAGGGUGCAGUGUUUCAGGUGGGUGAUGGUUCUAUACUGGUGUUGGAGACAGGGUGCAGUGUUUCAGGUGGGUGACGGUUCUAUACUGGUGUUGGAGACAGGGUGCAGUGUUUCAGGUGGGUGAUGGUUCUAUACUGGUGUUGGUUCUAUACUGGUGUUGGAGACAGGGUGCAGUGUUUCAGGUAGGUGAUGGUUCUAUACUGGCGUUGGUUCUAUACUGGUGUUGGAGACAGGGUGCAGUGUUUCAGGUGGGUGAUGGUUCUAUACUGGUGUUGGAGACAGGGUGCAGUGUUUCAGGUGGGUGUUGGUUCUAUACUGGUGUUGGAGACAGGGUGCAGUGUUUCAGGUGGGUGAUGGUUCUAUACUGGUGUUGGAGACAGGGUGCAGUGUUUCAGGUGGGUGAUGGUUCUAUACUGGUGUUGGAGACAGGGUGCAGUGUUUCAGGUGGGUGAUGGUUCUAUACUGGUGUUGGAGACCGGGUGCAGUGUUUCAGGUGGGUGACGGUUCUAUACUGGUGUUGGUUCUAUACUGGUGUUGGAGACCGGGUGCAGUGUUUCAGGUAGGUGACGGUUCUAUACUGGUGUUGGAGACAGGGUGCAGUGUUUCAGGUGGGUGAUGGUUCUAUACUGGUGUUGGUUCUAUACUGGUGUUGGAGACAGGGUGCAGUGUUUCAGGUGGGUGACGGUUCUAUACUGGUGUUGGUUCUAUACUGGUGUUGGAGACAGGGUGCAGUGUUUCAGGUGGGUGACGGUUCUAUACUGGUGUUGGUUCUAUACUGGUGUUGGAGACAGGGUGCAGUGUUUCAGGUAGGUGAUGGUUCUAUACUGGUGUUGGUUCUAUACUGGUGUUGGUUCUAUACUGGUGUUGGAGACAGGGUGCAGUGUUUCAGGUGGGUGAUGGUUCUAUACUGGUGUUGGAGACAGGGUGCAGUGUUUCAGGUGGGUGAUGGUUCUAUACUGGUGUUGGAGACAGGGUGCAGUGUUUCAGGUGGGUGUUGGUUCUAUACUGGUGUUGGUUCUAUACUGGUGUUGGAGACAGGGUGCAGUGUUUCAGGUGGGUGAUGGUUCUAUACUGGUGUUGGAGACAAGUUGCAGUGUUUCACAUCAAAUUGUAUUUGUCACAUGCACUGAAUACAACAGGUGUAGACCUCACAGUGAAACGCUUACUUACAAGACCUUAACCAACAAUGUAGUUUUAAGAACAAUUUAAACAAAUGGAAAAUUACAUGUUUUUUUUUUAUUAAAAGGUAGGUUCUAUACUGGUGUUGAAAUAGGUUCAAUUAAGAAAAACUUAGCUAGCUUAGAUAAUUAGCUGGCAUUGAUUUGAUUUUGCAGAGACAUGUUUUUUUGGAGCGUCUGAUGACAUAAUGCUAAUAUUGUGAUGAACAUUUCUCUGGUCCCUACUGUUGCAGUCAUGACGCAAGUGGCGCUAUGCUGUCAAAUCCUCCCACGUACUUCAACCAGCUGUUUUUAGCAACUGGUAGUUUUUAAUUUGGUUGGCAUAUUGGCAGGUUUGCUAGCAUCUAACUACACUGAAUGCUGUUGAAACGCUGAAAGCUGAACGAGAGACCUCGGUUUAUUGUUUCAUAAAGCUGACAGUGUUUUUAUAUACUUUUUUGUUGGAUCCUGCGGCUCUGUUGGGCUUAGUUGCUGUGAGCGCUGCUGUCUGUCCCGGGAUCCUUCAGCUCUGUUGUGCUUAGUUGCUGUGAGCGCUGCUGUCUCUCCUGGGAUCCUUCAGCUCUGUUGUGCUUAGUUGCUGUGAGCGCUGCUGUCUGUCCCAGGAUCAUGUAGCUCUGUUGGGCUUAGUUGCUGUGAGCGCUGCUGUCUGUCCUGGGAUCCUGCCAGAUUCUGCACAUGGAAGCCCAGCUAGCCUAUUUGGCUCGGCGGUCUCAAAUGCAGGUCGCUAUCGAACGUUUCCAGCACUGCAGGAGCUGUUUGCUUUGUUCCAGGACAAGGUGGACCGCGCUGACUUUCAAUGUAGCAACUGCUUGCUUGCGAAGGACUAUAGGGUGGUGAAGUGGCUACUCUUAGCAAGCAUGUAGCAAACCUACACUAGCUACUGGGGAGUCCACGCCCGCCUACUUUUUCUUCCACCCCAGUAGCCGGAUUCCACUCUGGUCUGGAAGUGUCGCCAGCGUGUCGGCUCUCCACAGCUGACUGGCCGGUGCUGAGCAGGGUUCCAUCCCCGACGGGUUCUUCCCCUUCCCUGGAGAACGGCGCUGUCCUCGACCCAACCAACCAGCCAUGGAGAUGCGUCACUCGCAGUGGAAGUCGAAGAAAGUGUCCUCUGGCAACAGGGGUGUGCUUGGAGAUGUUGAGCCCGGACCUGACACAGACCAUAAACGGCUUUGCCGCCCUGGGGGCUUCCCAUUCAAGAUCUGAUCCGGAGGUACCUGCGUCUUCAUCUUCGUCCUCUGUUCUGUCCCUCUCCGGUGGCUUCUACCUCGGGUUCAGAUUCUCGGAGCUCCCACCCUCAUCAGACCGUGAGGUUGCCUGAGAGACCUGUCGAUUCAACAUCACCAGCUGUCAUCAUAGGCAGCUCUAUGGUGAACAACAUCUCGGUCUCCAAAGCAAAAACCCUGUUACCCAUGAGCACGAAUACAGGACAUAACAAGGCUGCUUCUGACUGUUCUACCCAGGAGCACGAGUACAGGACAUAACGAGGCUGCUUCAGACUGUUCUACACAGGAGCACGAGUACAGGACAUAACAAGGCUGCUUCUGACUGUUCUACCACAGAUGCCGGAAGCUGACACUGUCGUAGUCCGUGUGGGGUCAAACAACAUCAGGAGGGCUAGCUCGGAACAUCUGGAAAAUUGAUUUUAAGGAACUGAUUUUAGCAUUAAAAUACUCCAAACAAUGGCCAGUCAUUUCAGGUCCAGUACCGUCGCCGUUCAGGUGUGAACAUUUCAGCAGGCUACUGGCAUUACACAUCUGGCUAAAAGACAGUAGCUCUGCUGGAGUCACUUUUAUUGAUAACUUUGACACCUUCUGGAAACAGAAGAUACUCUACAGGAAUGACGGAGUCCACCCAAAUCAUCUUGGCUCCUGGCCUCUGUCCACGCAUUUUAAGGCUGCGUUGAAAAAUCUAAUGUUAUUAGUCACAUGCGCUGAAUACAAAUCAAAUCAAAUUUAUUUGUCACAUACACAUGGUUAGCAGAUGUUAA